rnacentral:rRNA from 1 species
CAAUAGCGUAUAUUAAAGUUGUUGCGGUUAAAAAGCUCGUAGUUGGAUUUCUGCUGAGGAUGACCGGUCCGCCCUCCGGGUGAGUAUCUGGCUCAGCCUUGGCAUCUUCCUGAAGAACGUAACUGCACUUGACUGUGUGGUGCGGUAUUUAGGACAUUUACUUUGAGGAAAUUAGAGUGUUUCAAGCAAGCGCACGCCUUGAAUACAUUAGCAUGGAAUAAUAAGAUAGGACCUCGGUUCUAUUUUGUUGGUUUCUAGAGCUGAGGUAAUGAUUGAUAGGGAUAGUUGGGGGCAUUCGUAUUUAACCGUCAGAGGUGAAAUUCUUGGAUUUGUUAAAGACGGACUACUGCGAAAGCAUUUGCCAAGGAUGUUUUCAUUGA